UACAAGGUUGAUAGGCUGCGUGUGGAAGUGCAGUAAUGCAUGUAGCUUGGCAGUACUAAUAGGCCGAGGGCUUGACCAU
rnacentral:rRNA from 1 species